AUGCCGAUUGGAGAAGCUGUUCUGUCUGUCUUCAUGCAAGCACUCUUCAAGAAAGUAAUUGUUGUCGCUUUUGGUGAGCUGAAAUUACCGCAAGAUGUAGCCGAGGAGCUGGAGAAACUAUCCAGCAGUCUCUCAGCCAUUCAAGCUCACGUUGAAGAUGCUGAGGAGCGGCAGCUGAAGGAUGAGACGGCACGAGACUGGCUUGCCAAGCUCAAGGAUGUCGCAUAUGAGAUGGAUGACUUGCUCGAUGAUUAUGCAGCUGAGGCCAUUCAAUCCAAACUAGAAGGACCGUCCAACUACAACCAUUUGAACAAGGUUAGGAGCUGUUUCUGCUGCUUUUGGUUCAACACUUAUUUAUUCAACCAAAAGAUAUUACAAGACAUAAGGAAGGUAGAGGAGAAGCUCGACAGGCUUGUCAAACAAAGAAUAUUGGCCCAAGCAUGA
rnacentral:rRNA from 1 species